GGCAGUUCACUUUAGAAUUUUGAAUGACAGAGUGUUCUUUGUGAAAGCAAGAGAUUUUCUUCAUGAAAAUUGUGCCAAAUGCAGAGAAUUGUGUGUAGUGUUUUGAAAAAAGGGUGUUUUAGAACUGCAAUUUGAGUGUAAAGCAGGAAUUGUGCUUGUAGUUUAGCAGAAGAUGUUAAAUAAGAGAGAGCUGGAAGAGGUUUAAAAGGUGAAAACAUAAAAAGCUGUAGAGUAAGAGGGCUGGAAGAGGUUAAAAGGUGAAAAAAUAUGAACAGUUGUAGAGUAAGAGUGCUGGAAGAGGUUAAAAUGGUGAUAACAUAUGAAAAGCUGUAGAGUAAGAGGCCUGGAAGAGGUUAAAAAGGUGAAAAAAGGAUGAAAAGUUAAAAAAGUUUGAGGGUGAAAGAGCUAAAAUAGGUGAGAAAAGGAUGAAAAUUUAAAAAAGUUUGAGGGUGAAAGAGCUCAAAUAGGUGAGAAAAGGAUGAAAGGUAAAAAGAUGUAGAGUAAGAGGGUUGGAAGAGGUUAAAAAGGUUAAAAGAAUAUGAAAAUCUGUAGAAUAAGAGGGCUGGGAGAGGUUGAAAAGGUGAAUAAAGGAUGACAAGCAGUAGAGUAAGAGGCCUGGAAGAGGUUAAAAGGUGAAAACAUAUGAACAGCUGUAGAGUAAGAGGGCGGAAUGAGCUUAAUAAGGAGAAAAAAAGACUGAAAAGGCCAAAAAGUUCUAGAGUAAGAGGGCAGAAAGAGGUUAAAAAGGUGAAAAACGGCUGACAGGUGAGAAGUUAAAGGCAGAAAGAGCUUCAAAUGGUUGCAGACAUGCUGCAGCAGGAGCAGAAACACAGACGAAAGUGUCCCCAUAAGGAAUGAAUGGGAAAAUGCCUGCCAAACUCCUGCGAUUUUUGGGAAACUGUUAUAGUCAUCGGCAAAACGUGCUACAUGUUGAGUUACAGGAGACAUUGCUGAACGCACUCAUGUCAUUUAUAUUUCUGUAAAGUGCAUAAUGAGGACACAGGAGCGAGAGACAAAACAUGUACCGUCUGCGAUCCUCCAGAAAUUUUGGCUCAAAAUUAACAUUGCGGGAACAUUCAGGAGUGCUUGUCGCUCUCGGGCUUCUAAAUCCAAAACCGUAAGUCCUAGAGCUGAAAUGAGACCAUCAGCUGAAACCCAACGGGAUUUCCCACAUUUAUAUGCCUAUAUUGUCU
rnacentral:lncRNA from 1 species